CGCCUCUUGACCCCCAUAAGAGGUCCAGCCUGCCCAGUGACUCUGUUCAACGGCCGCGGUAUCCUAACCGUGCGAAGGUAGCGUAAUCACUUGUUCUUUAAUUGUGGACUAGUAUGAAUGGCACCACGAGGGUUAUACUGUCUCCUUUCUCUAAUCAGUGAAACUAAUCCCCCCGUGAAGAAGCGAGGAUAUAAAUAUAAGACGAGAAGACCCUAUGGAGCUUAAAACAUCAUAGCAACUGCCACCACAACAUAUAAGUUUCCGAAUACUUUACUCUUUCGGUAAAAUGACUAUAAGUUUUUGGUUGGGGUGACCGCGGAGCAUAAAACAACCUCCACAUUGAAAGACUUAAGACCUCUAAGCUAAGACCUACAAAUCUAGGCAUCAGCACACUGACAUUCAUUGACCCAAUAUAAUUGAGCAACGAACCAAGUUACCCUAGGGAUAACAGCGCAAUCCACUUCAAGAGCCCCUAUCGACAAGUGGGUUUACGACCUCGAUGUUGGAUCAGGGUAUCCCAGGGGUGCAGCCGCUCCUAAAGGUUCGUUUGUUCAACGAUUAAAACCCUACG
rnacentral:rRNA from 1 species